UACGUAGGGGGCGAGCGUUGUCCGGAUUUAUUGGGCGUAAAGGGUACGCAGGCGGCCAUGUAAGUCAGGUGUGAAAUUCUAUAGCUUAACUAUAGUAAGCACGUGAAACUGUGUGGCUUGAGUUAAGGAGAGGAAAGUGGAGUUCCUAGUGUAGCGGUGAAAUGCGUAGAUAUUAGGAGGAAUACCAGCGGCGAAGGCGGCUUUCUGGACUUAUACUGACGCUGAGGUACGAACGCGUGGGGAGCAAACAGG
rnacentral:rRNA from 1 species